GACGUAGGGCGCGAGCGUUGUCCGGAUUUAUUGGGCGUAAAGAGCUCGUAGGCGGCUUGUCGCGUCGACUGUGAAAACCCGCGGCUUAACUGCGGGACUGCAGUCGAUACGGGCAGGCUAGAGUUCGGUAGGGGAGACUGGAAUUCCUGGUGUAGCGGUGAAAUGCGCAGAUAUCAGGAGGAACACCGGUGGCGAAGGCGGCAUCCUGGACCGACAUUGACGCUGAGGAGCGAAAGCUAGGGGAGCAAACGGG
rnacentral:rRNA from 1 species